rnacentral:rRNA from 1 species
GACGAACGCUGGCGGCGUGCUUAACACAUGCAAGUCGAACGGUGAACUCCGCUUGCGGGGGGAUCAGUGGCGAACGGGUGAGUAACACGUGGGCAACCUGCCCUCAGCUCUGGGAUAACUCCAAGAAAUUGGGGCUAAUACCGGAUAUGACCGCUGACCGCAUGGUCUGGUGGUGGAAAGAUUUAUCGGCUGGGGAUGGGCCCGCGGCCUAUCAGCUUGUUGGUGGGGUAGUGGCCUACCAAGGCGACGACGGGUAGCCGGCCUGAGAGGGUGACCGGCCACACUGGGACUGAGACACGGCCCAGACUCCUACGGGAGGCAGCAGUGGGGAAUAUUGCGCAAUGGGCGAGAGCCUGACGCAGCGACGCCGCGUGGGGGAUGACGGCCUUCGGGUUGUAAACCUCUUUCAGCAGGGACGAAGCGAAAGUGACGGUACCUGCAGAAGAAGCACCGGCCAACUACGUG